AUGGGCAUGCCCGGCGACGACUCGCGCUGUCGGCCUCGAGUGCGCGGCGGCUCGUCGAGCGCACCCACGACGGCGGUCGACGGCCAGAGGCCGCUGGACUUCACGACGGUCGCUCCGCCAGCGUGGUCGGCCGCCUCAGAGUCGGGACCAGGAGCCCCCGCCAGCGUGGUCGGCCGCCUCAGAGUCGGGACCAGGAGCCCCCGCCAGCGUGGUCGGCCGCCUCAGAGUCGGGACCAGGAGCCCCCGCCAGCGUGGUCGGCCGCCCUCGGCAGCGGCAGGGGUGUCUUCGGUCGCCGUCGAGCUUUCGUGGACCUCGAUCCAGGGCCGGCGGCGCUCGGCGCACACAUGGACGCGCCCCUGCCCCUGCGCCCCCCGCUCCUCCCCGUCCUCUGCCCGCUCGGCGCCCCUGCCCCUGCGCCCCCCGCUCCUCCCCGUCCGCUGCCCGCUCGGCGCCCCUGCCCGGCGACGACUCGCGCUGCCGGAAGCACCCGCCCAUGCCUGGAGCUUCAAGUAGCAGCUCCCGCCCUGGGCGCGAGCGAGGGCCGACGAGGCCGACGGCGAGCCGGGCGGCAGCGGACGCCUCCUCUUGGAGACGACGAUGUUGGUCGCGGCAGCUGCUUCCGCCGCGGCAUGCCGCCCACGUGCCCGCCGCCGGGGAGCGCCGUGGCCGACGCCUUCCGGGCCAUCGCUAGCAUGCCGCCCACGUACGCGUCACGCGCGCGCCUCAGCAGCCGCCUGGGCGCCGUCACGACCGCGCGGACGGCCCGCGCGCGCCGAAGGAGAAGCCCGCGCCGGACGACCCACGCGACGCGCACCGGAGCCGCCGAGGCGCUGCGUGCCCUGGGACCUGCUGCCGCCGCCCUCGCCGGCCUCCAGGCGCUGGUACUUGCGCCGGCGCCAGUGCGCGCGCACGCCCUCGUGAACCCGAUCGGGAACGCCUCCAUCUCCAUGGGCGGCCGGCUAGUGUGCUGGUACAAGAUCGCGCUCGGCCUGGGCUCCGCCUUGCAGUACCUCCACACGGAAUGCGACCAGUGCAUCGUGCACCGCGACAUCAAACCCGCAAACGUGAUGCUCGACGCGUCGCGCGAUCCGCCGGCUGCAAGUUGUGCAUCGGCCGCUACCUAG
rnacentral:rRNA from 1 species